GCCCCCGUAGCUCAGUGGAUAGAGCAGCAGGUUUCUAACCUGUUGGCCGUAGGUUCAAUUCCUACCGGGGGUACCA
rnacentral:tRNA from 3 species